CCCUUAGACGUUCUGGGCCGCACGCGCGCUACACUGACCAGUGCAACAAGCAUCCGUCCUUGGCCGACAGGCCCGGGCAAUCUUUGAACGCCGGUCGUGAUGGGGAUAGACUUUUGCAAUUUUUGGUCUUCAACGAGGAAUUCCUAGUAAACGCAAGUCAUCAACUUGCAUUGAUUACGUCCCUGCCCUUUGUACACACCGCCCGUCGCACCUACCGAUUGAAUGGUCCGGUGAAGCCUCCGGAUUGGCGCGCACCUCGGUGCCGCCGAGAAGUUGGCUAAACCUUACCAUUUAGAGGAAGGUGAAGUCGUANCA
rnacentral:rRNA from 1 species